UGGCCGCUAUUAACUAUAUUAUGUAUUCCAUCAUCGUGGUAUCCUGGUUGUAUCUGUACUCCUACAUUGGGGAACAGCUUGUUCACGAGUCACUGCAAGUGGGCGAAGCGUUUUACGAUACCGAUUGGACGAACAUCACGAACAGUAACAGAAGAUCUUUGGCAAUCUGUUUAAUAAACGGACAAAAAGCCGAGUAUUUAACGGCCGGGAAAUAUUAUAGAUUUACGCUUUUUGGCUUCAGCGAUGUAAGCACUAUCGCUUGUUCCUGUUAACUGAUAAAACAAAGAAUAUUCGCCGACACGUGUUUAGUAAAAUUACGCAGAAAUGAUAUCCAGCCUUUUCCUUAACAGAUUGUAAAAUCUUCCAUGGCGUUUCUCUCCGUGCUGCGAGCGAUGGUCUGAUAAAGCUGGAAAAAGUGAUGUAUAAGUAGGCGAUUGUAUAGCUGCAAAUUUCUAUUUUCCAUUGCGUAUGUUCAAAGAUUUCCCAAUUAUAAUCAUAACAUUUUAAUUAUUGAAAACGGAAAUAAGAACAAUGCGAACGAUUUGUGACGGUGUUCGCUAAUUCGAAGUUUCUGUUUAAGAAUGCACAUGUUUGGAGGCACGCGAAGAUAAACAUUGUUAUUUAGGUACUGAAAAUGGAAAUAAAAGCGUCGAAAAAAUGUUG